rnacentral:rRNA from 1 species
AUUGAACGCUGGCGGCAGGCCUAACACAUGCAAGUCGAGCGGAUGAAGGGAGCUUGCUCCUGGAUUCAGCGGCGGACGGGUGAGUAAUGCCUAGGAAUCUGCCUGGUAGUGGGGGAUAACGUCCGGAAACGGGCGCUAAUACCGCAUACGUCCUGAGGGAGAAAGUGGGGAUCUUCGGACCUCACGCUAUCAGAUGUGCCUAGGUCGGAUUAGCUAGUUGGUGGGGUAAAGGCCUACCAAGGCGACGAUCCGUAACUGGUCUGAGAGGAUGAUCAGUCACACUGGAACUGAGACACGGUCCAGACUCCUACGGGAGGAAGCAGUGGGGAAUAUUGGACAAUGGGCGAAAGCCUGAUCCAGCCAUGCCGCGGGUGUGAAGAAGGUCUUCGGAUUGUAAAGCACUUUAAGUUGGGAGGAAGGGCAGUAAGUUAAUACCUUGCUGUUUUGACGUUACCAACAGAAUAAGCACCGGCUAACUUCGUG